CUCCAUGUGUAGCGGUGAAAUGCGUAGAUAUAUGGAAGAACACCGGUGGCGAAGGCGGCUCUCUGGUCUGUUACUGACGCUGAGGCUCGAAAGCAUGGGUAGCGAACAGGAUUAGAUACCCUGGUAGUCCAUGCCGUAAACGAUGAGUGCUAAGUGUUGGGAGGUUUCCGCCUCUCAGUGCUGCAGCUAACGCAUUAAGCACUCCGCCUGGGGAGUACGACCGCAAGGUUGAAACCCAACGGUAUUGACAGAUCGGAGU
rnacentral:rRNA from 1 species